GCGCUCGUGGCGGAACGGCAGACGCGCUAGAUUCAGGUUCUAGUGGGGCAACCCGUGGAGGUUCAAAUCCUCUCGAGCGCACCC
rnacentral:tRNA from 1 species